rnacentral:rRNA from 1 species
GAACGAACGCUGGCGGCGCGCCUAAUACAUGCAAGUCGAACGAGAAUGUGUAGCAAUACACAUGUACAGUGGCGAACGGGUGAGGAUUACAUGGGUAACCUACCCUCGAGUGGGGAAUAACUAGCCGAAAGGUUAGCUAAUACCGCGUACGCUUCCCGGACUGCGGUUCGGGAAGGAAAGCGAUACCGUGGGUAUCGCGCUCUUGGAUGGGCUCAUGCCCUAUCAGCUUGUUGGUGAGGUAACGGCUCACCAAGGCUUCGACGGGUAGCUGAUCUGAGAGGAUGAUCAGCCACACUGGCACUGCGACACGGGCCAGACUCCUACGGGAGGCAGCAGUAAGGAAUAUUGCG